rnacentral:rRNA from 1 species
GUUAGUGGCGGACGGGUGAGUAACGCGUGAGAAUCUGCCCUCAGGAGGGGGAUAACAGAGGGGCUGACUGAAUAAUACCCCAUAUGCCGAGAGGUGAAAGCGAAAUUUUGCCUGGGGAUGAGCUCGCGUCUGAUUAGCUUGUUGGUGGGGUAAAAGCCUACCAAGGCUUCGAUCAGUAGCUGGUCUGAGAGGACGAUCAGCCACACUGGGACUGAUAUACGGCCCAGACUCCUACGGG